UCAAAAGUGCAAGGAAGCAGUUCAGCGUGCAGGCCCUGUGAAUGGGGGUGCCCCGCGGGGCAGAGAAUACGCGAGUGCAAGUAAACGUCUGGAAACAGCGUGCACGCCUUGGUGGUCAGCAGGUCAGCUGGCUGGAGGAAUCUCCUGCGACUGGCAGCAUUCCAUUUGUGCCUGAUGUUCCUGUAAACUCCAGCCACAACCCCUGUGGGGAGGAGGGGCUGCUGUGGAGAAUGAGAUAUGAAGUUGAAAGCUGGCAAGUGAAAGAAGACAGACUCCAGGAUUACAUUCUCCAGAGCAUGAGCUGCGUAUAUCACUCGCGAACCUUCCAGACAACUGAAGAAUAACAAUGAAUACUGCCAUCUUCCCAGAGCUCCAGCACUAAUCUUUGUUAAGGCUUAGAGGAAACCACUUUUCUCAGUUUUGAUGUCUAUGAAUCUGCAAUCACUAAUGAAUGGGGAAAAGUCUGUGAAACAUUUAUUUCCUACAUCAAUGAUUAAAAUUAGCUGUUUUUAGAGCAGAAUGAACAACAUACAAAGCAGGUUGGACGACAUCUAUUUCACACAAUUGCAUCUCAGUUUCUGACCUAGGUAAAAUCCUGCAUAAAUGUAGGAGAAUCCUCUAUAUUAAUAUGUUCUGUAUUCAGGUUUAAGAGAUGUGCAUUUACAUUUACAUUUUAUUAAUUCAUCAACUGAUACUUAAGAAUUAAAACUCUCAAAAUCAGAAGACGAUGCUUUUUGGUAAAGAAAAAAAGAAACAGGCUAUAAGUAAAAACAGGUAUAAAAAUUAACACAAAACCUUUGAGUAAUGUAUUUAUCCUAUAAGCGGAAAAUUCUGAGAAUAAUGGAGGACUGAGGGGAUUAAAAUGCCACGCAGUAGAUGGACUAUUUCAGAUUUUAUAGUCAGGGAAACUGGCUUCGGGAGGACAGCUCUCAAUUCAUGUACUUUACGUAAGAGCAGUUCUUUCUAUAGGCCAUAAAGUUGUAGGUGAUACAAUCAACUGGGUUAUAAAAUAGCUUCUUUUUAGAAUGGAGAUGAUACAAAAAUCAAUUUCUACAACCAUCAUUUCCUCCUGAACACCUCUUUCACUUUCAACCUAAACUUACUCUCCCCUUUGGGAAUUCCCAGUGUAUUUCUUUGAGAUGUCUUCCACAUUAACAGUAGAGCCUACAAAGAACCAACAUGCAGAGGCUACUUGUCAAAGGGCACUUUCUGUAGGUAGUCUAAAAGAACACAAUUAUACACAUACACAAACGUGUACAGGUAUACGCAAAAGGGAAAAGGAGAUGCAAGAGUACUGUACUACUGCUUUAACAAAUGCUCUCACCCAAUCCACCUUAUCCAUCUUACAGGAUAGAAACACUAUUUAGGGUUUAAAAUACGCAAAAAAACAUUUUUUUUAAAUAUAUAAACCAUCUAUGGAAGCAUAUUUUGCCUUCUGUUAUGACCCUCAUCAUUCCUCAACUCAUAUUCUAAAAGCCUGAGAGGUGAAAAUCUUCUGAACAGCUGAACCACCCACAGAACCUGAAAAUUAUUAUACAUUUUGCACAUGAUUAACCUAUAUUCACCACUGAGGUUUAACCAAGAACCAGAUUCACAUAGGUAAUAGGGGUCACAACUACUUUUUCAUAAAAUAUACCCUCCUACUGGCCAGGUGAGGUGGCUCACGCCUGUAAUUCCAGCACUUCAGAUUGCUUGAGCCCAGGAAUUCAAGACCAGUCUGGGCAACAUGGCAAAACCCUGUCUCUACUAAAAAUACAAAAAUUAACUGGGUGUGGUGGCACAUGCCUGUAGUCCCAGCUACUUGGGGAGGCUGAGGUGGGAUGGCUUGAGCCUGGAAGGUGAAGGUUGCAGUGAGCCAAGAUCACGACUUUGUACUUAAGUCUGGGCAACAGAGCGAGACCCUGUCUCAAAAAAAAAAAAAAAAAAAAAAAAAAAAUCUAUGCAUCCAUCUAUCUAUACAAACACACAUCCUCCUACUUUACAUAAAUGUACAAUUCCAUGUCUAUUCUUAGCAUGUUUUCAGUUAAAAUUAGAUUACUGAUGUUUACAAGAAGCACGGUCAAAUGAUUUUUUUCAUUUUAUGUCAAUGUUUACACGCCAACCCUCCAGAAGGUUGGGACAAUGGGAAGAGGGCAUUGGACUGGAUGUAAAGCCUGAGGCCAGGGGUCUAGUUUUGUUAGGGUCUAGAUUCUCACCCCAGAAUCUUACCCCCUCAGGCAAUCACUCAAAUUGAAAUAUCACUUCUAUUGGUCCUGAUACUCUACUUCAGUAGUUAUCUUACUUCUUCCUUUGAAUGUAAACCAUUUAUAGCUAAGUAGAGUAUAUUUUAGUAUAAGAACACAGUGAAGGCUGGGUGCGGUGGCUCACACCUGUAAUCCCAGCACUUUGGGAGGCCGAGGCGGGCGGAUCACGAGGUCAAGAGCUCGAGACCAGCCUGACCAACAUAGUGAAACCCCGUCUCUACUAAAAAUAUAAAAAUUAGCUGGGCGUAGUGGCGCGCGCCUGUAAUCCCAGCUACUUGGGAGGCUGGGGCAGGAGAAUCGCUUGAACCUGGGAGGCGGAGGUUGCAGUGAGUGGAGAUCGCAACACUGCAUUCCAGCCUGGGCGACAGGGCGAGACUCCGUCUCAAAAAACAAACAAACAAAAAACACAUAGUGAAGACCAAACAAAAUUUCAUCUGUACUAAUAAUGACUCACGGUGGGCCAGAGCUCAAGUCAGUAUGUAAUAAGAAAGCAAAGGGAAAAAAAAAAUCAUUUACUUCACUAAAACUUCUGUUGUUUCUUUAAAACUCUAAACAAAAUUGACCCUAUAAGUAAAGAUAUUCAUUCUUAUCAUUUUUUAACAAGCAAAUUUUAAUAAUGCCUUUUAUUUCUAUACAAAGCAAUGUAACUUUCU
rnacentral:lncRNA from 10 species